CCAACGGCCCUCUUUAGGGCCACAAUUUGACAAGUUCAUACUUUGU
rfam:Oesophagostomum dentatum strain OD-Hann O_dentatum-1.0_Cont731469.1, whole genome shotgun sequence.